UUUGGCGUUUUCUUUUUCCCCAUGGUGUCAGGCAGAGCCCGAGUUGGCACUGAGGCGUCUGCACUGGGAGGCGAGGGUGACCAGAUAGCCAACCAAUCCCAAGAUCUGGCUAGGAUCUACCUGACCUACUGCUGAGUGCAGAUGCACGAGCAAGACCAGCUAAAGUCACCAAAGUGUAGCCCAAGUAGGGAAGAAGGACCAAAUGGGAGAAGAUAAGGGUACAGAGAAAAGGACACAGCAUAGCAAGAAGAAAUGGAAUGAGAACUUUUGGUGCAGAUUGAGAGAGGUAUGAGAUCAGUGGUUUUGCUCUGCCACCUAUUCCUACCAUGAGGGCUCAACACAGGCCUAAAACAACAUGGAUCAAUUGACAAGAGACUAAAGCCUCCUAACUUUGAGUCAAAAGCAACCCUCUUGUCUUGAUAAGGUGACUACCUGAAAGCUUACUGACGGUGAAUUGUUGUUUGUGAAAUUGCUACUCUAUUAAGAAUUUUAUCAUGUCUGACUUCAUUAGAACUCUUAUUUGGCUAGCUGCUAAUGCAAUCAGGAUUUUAUAUUCUAUCAUUUUACAUACAAGUGAAUACUUAGUCUUCAGCCAACCAUAUUAUUCCAUAAUUACCUCAGCAGCAUAAAGCAGCCACCUCCCAUGUAUGAUACCAAGAAGCCACACACAAAAAAACAACGCAUAACACAUAUCUUUCCAGUAUAUAUGGGAAUAUAUAUAUAUAUAUAAAUAUGUGAAUAUAUAUAAUGUGAACUAUACAUAUAUUCACAUUUUGAAGUCUAUUCACAUUUGCAACUCUAAGUAAUGUCAAAGAAGGCAUCUUUUCCCCCAUAAUACAUGGAAGGGGUAGAAAUUACGAAGAAUGGAGGCAAGUAAUGUCAGUGGAAAAUAUAAACUGGUGCAAACUUCAGUUUUACAUACGUGCUUAUAGGUUUAUAUUUGCUUUGUAGAGAGGGAUUCUGAAGGACUCUGAUUUAAUUGAUAUGACCUCAAAGCUCAGCUUGAGUAUAUGAUGAGUAUUGAACAAAUCAUUAUAGAAUAAAAUGAUUGAAGAAUAAUUUUCUAUGUUCUUUUAAAAAAUGAAUUCAUGUGAGCUAAAGAGUACAGUGUACUAGCAGACAGUACAGUAGAAAUGAUACUGGAGAUAACAUCAAAAGAGCAGAUCUGGAUCUCUGGCAUUUACUAGUUAGUGGUAUAACUUACUACAGGUUACUUUACCUUCCUUUCUUCAAGGUCUAGUGACAAAAAAUUAGGUGGGAGAAAUUGUUUUAUAAAACCUGAAUAUACACAAAGGUUAAAUGGUAUUUUAAAGCUAGAAUAACUUAUUUACUAGCACCUUCUUUGCAUCUACUGACUUAUUUCUGGCCAGAAUCCAACCACGAUAUUAUUUCCUAUCAUGUGCAAUACAUUGGUUUCCCAGGAUACUCUAUUCGUUUUGACAGUCAGGAAGAUAUGCCUAAGGAAUGGACAUUUCUAGAAAUGCUAUUGCAUUUGACACUGUCUUUAAAAGAUAGAUCUCCAGGAACUAACAUUUUAACCUGUGACUUUAUAUUAUUUUCUAGUGAUGACUUGCAUUAUAGAGCUGUGAGAAAUAAACUUCUGUUUUUUAAGCCCCCAUUGUAUGAUAUUUUGUUAUGUCAGCCUGAACU